UGCAAAAUGAAAGCAGCGAUCUGAUUGGUUGCUAUGGGCAACUCAGCAACUUUUCCUCUGCACAGGUUUUGAUAAAUCUCCCCCAUGGAGUCUCCCUCACCUGGUGUCCAAAGGAGCAGGUAACCCUGGUACAGGCCAAAAGGCACCUACAAGAGUCCAGGAUUGAUGCCCACCUCCCCUACCUUAUUUUUGUGAACUGAGGGUGCCUUCUUACUGAAAAGAGCCAGAAUGCCCAUCACUAGGGGUAAGGAAAACCACUAUGAACAACCUAACAAAACAGUAAGUAAUCCAAGAUAGCCACAAGCACAUGUCCAGACUCCUCCUUCCCCAGCUCAAGAUACUGCUCAGUUCAUUUGCUUGUGCAGUCCGCCAUUUUCUUGCGCUCCUUUUACUAAGGCCUGGCCAAAACAGAAUGAAGCAGGAAGUGCUAAUCGCUAGGUGAAACAGCCAGGCAACAAGCAGAGUGUUCUCUCACUCCAGGCGGUGCUCAGCUAUUAUUGACUAUAUAAAGCUCAUAUAUAGAGCUCAUUCCUCUGUCGGUUGGUCACCCAGAAGAUCUUGUCUCCAGUCAACCAGUGCCCAUGAAAGAUAAGUGUGGAAAAGGAAAUCAAUAUGAUUGCAAGAAAUGAAGGAUAAGAUAUGGGAUUUUAACAAGAAAGCAACUUUAUUAUAUCACAUGAGAUAUCUGCCCUGCUCGGCUUUUGAGGAAAUCUCUGGAAAUAUACUUUCAAUUAAUUGCCGGGGAAAGUUCAUUCUACCAGAACCUGUUCCUUCCCAAUGUGAUGGCCCGGAGCUCCGGUGUCAGAAGGAAUUAGCACA